rnacentral:rRNA from 1 species
UAGGGAAUCUUCCGCAAUGGGCGAAAGCCUGACGGAGCAACGCCGCGUGAGUUAUGAAGUUCUUCGGAUCGUAAAACUCUGUUAUUAGGGAAGAACAAAUGUGUAAGUAACUAUGCACGUCUUGACGGUACCUAAUCAGAAAGCCACGGCUAACUACGUGCCAGCAGCCGCGGUAAUACGUAGGUGGCAAGCGUUAUCCGGAAUUAUUGGGCGUAAAGCGCGCGCAGGCGGUUUUUUAAGUCUGAUGUGAAAGCCCACGGCUCAACCGUGGAGGGUCAUUAGAAACUGGAAAACUUGAGUGCAGAAGAGGAAAGUGGAAUUCCAUGUGUAGCGGUGAAAUGCGCAGAGAUAUGGAGGAACACCAGAGGCGAAGGCGACUUUCUGGUCUGUAACUGACACUAAUGUGCGAAAGCGUGGGGAUCAAACUGG